UGCAUCGAUGAAGAACGCAGCGAAAUGCGAUACGUAAUGUGAAUUGCAAAUUCAGUGAAUCAUCGAGUCUUUGAACGCACAUUGCGCCCCCUGGUAUUCCGGGGGGCAUGCCUGUCCGAGCGUCAUUUCUGCCCUCAAGCACGGCUUGUGUGUUGGGCCCCGUCCUCCGAUUCCGGGGGACGGGCCCGAAAGGCAGCGGCGGCACCGAGUCCGGUCCUCGAGCGUAUGGGGCUUUGUCACCCGCUCUGUAGGCCCGGCCGGCGCUUGCCGAUCAACCCAAAUUUUUAUCCAGGUUGACCUCGGAUCAGGUAGGGAUACCCGCUGAACUUAAGCAUAUCAAUAAGGCGGAGGAA
rnacentral:rRNA from 1 species